UUGGAGGGCAAGUCUGGUGCCAGCAGCCGCGGUAAUUCCAGCUCCAAUAGCGUAUAUUAAAGUUGUUGCAGUUAAAAAGCUCGUAGUUGAAUUUCGGGGUUAGUAGGUUGGUCAUGCCUCUGGUAUGUACUGGUCUCACCGAUUCCUCCUUCCUGAUGAACCUUAAUGCUAUUAAUUUGGUGUUUUGGGGAAUUUGGACUGUUACUUUGAAAAAAUUAGAGUGUUUAAAGCAAGCUAACGCUUGAAUACAUUAGCAUGGAAUAAUGAAAUAGGACGUUCGAUCCUAUUUUGUUGGUUUCUAGGAUUGACGUAAUGAUAAAUAGGGAUAGUUGGGGGCAUUAGUAUUCAAUUGUCAGAGGUGAAAUUCUUGGAUUUAUUGAAGACUAACUACUGCGAAAGCAUUUGCCAAGGAUGUUUUCAUUAAUCAAGAACGAAAGUUAGGGGAUCGAAGACGAUCAGAUACCGUCGUAGUCUUAACCAUAAACUAUGCCGACUAGGGAUCGGAUGAUGUUAAUUUUUUAAUGACUCAUUCGGCGCCUUACGGAAAC
rnacentral:rRNA from 1 species